rnacentral:rRNA from 1 species
GACGAACGCUGGCGGCGUGCCUAAUACAUGCAAGUAGAACGCACAGUUUAUACCGUAGCUUGCUACACCAUAGACUGUGAGUUGCGAACGGGUGAGUAACGCGUAGGUAACCUGCCUGGUAGCGGGGGAUAACUAUUGGAAACGAUAGCUAAUACCGCAUAAUAUUAAUUAUUGCAUGAUAAUUGAUUGAAAGGUGCAAAUGCAUCACUACCAGAUGGACCUGCGUUGUAUUAGCUAGUAGGUGAGGUAACGGCUCACCUAGGCGACGAUACAUAGCCGACCUGAGAGGGUGACCGGCCACACUGGGACUGAGACACGGCCCAGACUCCUACGGGAGGCAGCAGUAGGGAAUCUUCGGCAAUGGACGAAAGUCUGACCGAGCAACGCCGCGUGAGUGAAGAAGGUUUUCGGAUCGUAAAGCUCUGUUGUAAGAGAAGAACGGGUGUGAGAGUGGAAAGUUCACACUGU